ACCCCCUGUUUCACUCUGAGGCGUCCGCGCAUGCGCAUUUACAAUCCCGGAAGUAAACACGCUGUGUGUUAUUUCCGUAGCACGCGUGCAGCUGUGGAGAAGGUCAAAUAAGAAAAUAAAUCACCAUCAGUUCUGCAUCUUCUUCAUCAUCUCCUCCUGCCGUCAUGAAACCUCCUACAAACUCUCCCUCCCCCUCUCGGAAGAGAAAAAGAUCACACAGUCAGCAGGACGAUCCUACACCUGUUGACAUCAACACACCUGAGAAACAAGAUAAAAAGAAGAAGAACACCAGCGAGACGAAGAAGGGUUCAAUCUUCCUCCUCCUGCUGCAGUGGAAGAUACGAGCAGUAAGAAGAAGGAGAAAAGAAAGGAAAGAAAAGUGGAGCAAGAGGAGAAAGAGAUGCACAUUGCUGUAGAAACAGAAACUGUGGUGGAAAAGAAGAA